GCAAAAGCCAACUCCACAAAGUGAGCUAUAAAGGGCCAUAAAAUAAUCAUGAUAACCAAUUUAAGAUAAUUAAAACAAAAAAAAAACAAACUGAUAAAUAACUAGAAACUGGCACAUAUAUUAUGUGGCAGAUUGCAAGUCAAAUCCUAACCUGGGACAGUGAUGUAACAGUACAGCAUGAUAUAAGAACCCGCUUAACUCAUCAGAUCAAUGAAUAUCUAACACAUACAUGUAGACCAGCAAGAUAACAUGAAAUUGUAUCACAAGGUUCCAUACCACAAAAGGAAGGUUGAGAUAAAUUCCCCCCCACCCCCUUCCUGUUUGAUAAAUUGUAAACGGUUGAGAUCCCCACCCCUAAACCAUAUAUAUUAUUGUAGGGGACAAUAAAACAAAUCAAAUGAAAUAUAGGGGGGGGUCACCCCCACCCCUUCCUGUUUGAUAACUUGUAAACGGUUGAGAUCCCCACCCCUAAACCAUAUAUAUUCUUGUAGGGGACAAUAAAACAAAUCAAAUGAAAUAUAGGGGGAGUCCCCGGAGUCACCCCCACCCCUUCCUGUUUGAUAACUUGUAAACGGUUGAGAUCCCCACCCC
rnacentral:lncRNA from 1 species